GAGGGAAAGGCGAAAAGAACCCCGGCGAGGGGAGUGAAACAGAACCUGAAACCGUGUACGUACAAGCAGUGGGAGCCCCACCACUAAGCCAGUGGUGAACUCCACAUACGCAUCCUUUGCGGAAGAUGCGGUUAACGGAGCGAAAGCGACGUUCAACCUAAAAAGAAGCAGAGGGGGCUUAGUGGUGGGGUGACUGCGUACCUUUUGUAUAAUGGGUCAGCGACUUAUAUUCUGUAGCAAGGUUAACCGAAUAGGGGAGCCGGAGGGAAACCGAGUCUUAAUUGGGCGUUAAGUUGCAGGGUAUAGACCCGAAACC
rnacentral:rRNA from 1 species